rnacentral:rRNA from 1 species
GACGGAGGAGGCAAGCGUUGUCCGGAAUUAUUGGGCGUAAAGAGCGCGUAGGUGGUUUUUCAAGUCAUGUGUGAAAACUUCAGGCUCAACUUGAAGAUUGCACAUGAAACUGGAUAACUUGAGUACAGCAGAGGAAAGUGGAAUUCCUGGUGUAGCGGUGAAAUGCGCAGAUAUCAGGAGGAACACCGGUGGCGAAGGCGGCUUUCUGGGCUGUCACUGACGCUGAGGCGCGAAAGCCAGGGGAGCAAACAGGAUUAGAUACC